GGAUGCGAUCAUACCAGCACUAAAGCACCGGAUCCCAUCAGAACUUCGAAGUUAAGCGUGCUUGGGCGAGAGAACUCCGAAGUUAAGCGUGCUUGGGCGAGAGUAGUACUAGGAUGGGUGACCUCCUGGUAAGUCCUUGUAUUGCAUUCC
rfam:Setaria italica strain Yugu1 chromosome VIII, whole genome shotgun sequence.